rnacentral:rRNA from 1 species
AGAGUUUGAUCAUGGCUCAGAACGAACGCUGGCGGCAGGCUUAACACAUGCAAGUCGAACGCUCGUAGCAAUACGGGAGUGGCAGACGGGUGAGUAACGCGUGGGAACAUACCCUCCGGUUCGGAAUAACUCAGGGAAACUUGAGCUAAUACCGGAUACGGCUGAGAGGCGAAAGAUUUAUCGCCGGAGGAUUGGCCCGCGUUCGAUUAGCUUGUUGGUGAGGUAACGGCUCACCAAGGCGACGAUCGAUAGCUGGUCUGAGAGGAUGAUCAGCCACAUUGGGACUGAGACACGGCCCAAACUCCUACGGGAGGCAGCAGUGGGGAAUAUUGGACAAUGGGCGCAAGCCUGAUCCAGCCAUGCCGCGUGAGUGAUGACGGCCUUAGGGUUGUAAAGCUCUUUCGCUCGGGACGAUAAUGACAGUACCGAGAUAAGGAGCCCCGGCUAACUUCGUGCCAGCAGCCGCGGUAAUACGAAGGGGGCUAGCGUUGUUCGGAAUUACUGGGCGUAAAGCGCGUGUAGGCGGGUCUUUAAGUUAGGGGUGAAAUGCCAAGGCUCAACCUUGGAACUGCCUUUGAUACUGGAGAUCUUGAGUCCGGGAGAGGUGAGUGGAAUUGCGAGUGUAGAGGUGAAAUUCGUAGAUAUUCGCAAGAACACCAGUGGCGAAGGCGGCUCACUGGCCCGGAACUGACGCUGAGACGCGAAAGCGUGGGGAGCAAACAGGAUUAGAUACCCUGGUAGUCCACGCUGUAAACGAUGGAUGCUAGCCGUUGGGGAGCUUGCUCUUCAGUGGCGCAGCUA